rnacentral:lncRNA from 1 species
UCAGAAAGUUUACUAACACAUAGUUUGUAAGUAUUCAAACAUAAUGUAAGCCCUGCAGGCUGCCAAAGCAGCAUUUAACAUAUUCUCUCGAAUUCAUUAUCAAAGCUUUUUGCUAACAAUAAAAUCUAAAAUUUCACCUUUUGUAGAACCCCAAUUGGUGAAUCCAAAUCCUCACCGAACCUCAGUUCCAGCUCGAAGGCCAGAAAGCAUGGAUACCAUACCCGGUCUUCCAGUUAUCCAAAUACACCACCUUCUUCACAGCCCAAAACGAAACCACCAGUGCCACAAGCAUAACAAUCCGCUGCGCAUUCACAUUCCUCACCCUCACAAGCACCCUGGUAAGAAACGCCAGCAGCAACCCGACGAUAGUAUACAAGAACCCGAUAGCAAACCCCUCUGUUCCGAGCUGCAUUCCCGAUCCCUGGUAAAAGAAAACCAGCUUCGUCGGAUCGUUCCGGUCGGCCAAGAACAUCGGCAUUUUCCUGAUAAUGUUGUGCAUAGCGCCGGAGACACUGAAGAAGUAGACGAAAACCGCCCCGGUCAACCAAACCCUGGGGUCGUGAAGCAGAGUCUUGCCGUUGAUAAUCUUCUUGAUAAUGAACGGCGUCCAGAUCAGCCACGCCAUGACGGCGAGGAUGAUCUGGUUCCGGGAGAACAUCGGCGGGCGUUGGAUUGGGCCGACGACUAGCUUGGUCUUGGAUUCGAUGAACUCGGACAUUGACUCGGCGAGUCUGGCGAAAUCGCCCUGCUCCAUCUGGACGGACUCUUUCGGGCUCUGACCCGGCCCGACGAGGCGGAUGUGGGGCAGGGAGUUGACGCCGAAUUGGGCGAAGCUGUUCUGCGAGUCCUGGAAUUCGAUGUCGACGAAGAAGAGCUUGGAGUGGGACGGAGAGGCUUCGUCGGCGUUGUUGGCGAUGAAGGAGGCGGCGACGAGGGAGAACUCGUGGCGGAGGUCGGAGAGGUGGAGCUCCGGUUUCUCGUGGAGCUUGGCGGCGUCGAAGAAGAUGAGGAGGGAGUAGGGGCGGGGGUUUGGGCGGAGGUGAGGAAGCGGGAGACGGAUUGGUCGGUGAAGCGGAUCACGCCGGAUUUGGAUCGGGAUUGGAGGGAUUGGAGCUCCGAGACGAGGUCCGAUUGGGAGGAGGCGGUGAGGAAGAGGAGGGCGGAGACGAGGAGGAGGGAG